ACCAUUUUAUAAGCUUUUAAAAUCCAUUGUAAUCAUUCAAUGCCACUUACUUAUGCUUAAAAAACAAUUGUAAAUCUUAUAAAACUA
rnacentral:sRNA from 1 species